rnacentral:lncRNA from 1 species
GUAAACUGCGAUUCAAAAAGCCAGGUGGGAAGCCCUGUAGUAGGGACUCUGGCUUUGUCCCUGUUUCCCCCUUUUCUUCCUCUUCACCCACUAAAACCCUGUUUUACUCACGGUUCAAAUUGUUUGGCAGCCUGAAUUUUCAUGGCCAUGGGACAAAGAACCCCGUCUUUAGCUGAAUUAAGGAAAAGUUCUGCAACAUUUUUGACGUGCAACUUGGGGGCUCAAGCGGAGAAGCGAAGCAGAGCCCCUGGAAAACUCACAUAUGUGUCAACAAUAGUCCUUGAUGCCCCUGUAACAAAACUUGAGCAAGGCCUGGUGAUGAAGAGAUACAAGAUUGUCACCCAAGGAUUUGAUUAUACCUCUGUUGAAAGUUAAUGCACACUCAACCGAAUAUGGCAAUUGGUACUCUCAAUUCUAUAUUCUCAACAAUUACAGUGAAGAUACAAGUAGAAUACAAUCACUGCCACAUUUUUUGAAAUUCUGUGUAAACUGUAAUAUUCUGUCAACAUUAAUGACAUUUGAAGUGUCCUGUCAAAACAAUUGCAGCUACUUUAUGUAUAAAACAUAUUAAAUAGGCUCAUCCAACUUGCAUUCUUUAUUAAGCUUAUUUUCAUAUUUUUUCCUAUGGAUGAACUUAAAAAUAAUUUUGUUUCUUAAUUAAGAUUCUAUGCAUGAAGAUGCUGAAUAAUUUAAGACAAUUGUUCAUUCAAAUAGUUGCUAAUUACACCCUCCUGGCAUAGUUAUUGUAUUAUUACUACAUUUAGGAAUAAUAUGCUGUACUACUUGGACUUGAAAAUGUUUCUGACAUUUUAAUGAACACACUACUUAGUUAUAUUUUACAAGGGUUUUCAGUGAACCACAGAGGAUUAAAAAAUGUCAUUCAAGGGUUGUAGAUAAUUAAACUGACUGAAUAUAAGAAGCCUCAUAUGGAAGUGAAAAUUAUGUAUGAAUUUUGUUGAGCUGGAAAUGUGUUUUACUAAAUGACUUCAGAUUUGUUACUUUUAAAUACAAGAUGAAGGGAAUCAAGGGGAUACUUUCUUCUCACCUCAAUUUGUUCCAUUUGCAUAAGCUAUUUUAUCUUUCAAUAUCCCUUUUGAUAUUUCAUUUUGGCCCUUGAAUACACUAAAGAUUAUUUAAAAUAAAUAAAUGUUGACUUU